rfam:Turicibacter sanguinis PC909 contig00030, whole genome shotgun sequence.
CCUUGUCUGUUAAGUGAUUAGCAGAUACUCACCGUUAAUUGCUUUGAAAUCCUAAAGCUCAAUGUACGAAAACGUCAUCUGAAAAGAUAAGCGUGAACGUAGCGAAAGCAGAAAAAAACAUUGAGAUGAACAUAUGGUUAAAUCCUAAGUGUUUAUGAAAAAUGGAUGUUUAGCAGCGAAUUUCCUAAGUCUCAGUGAUAUGGAAAACGUUCAACGACUAUCCCAUUGCGUGGGAGUAGAAUUACAAGUGAUUGGUAAUUCGAAAAAUGGUGCUCCUAUAGUUUUUAGGAUGAAGAUAUAGUCUGCGCACGCUCUGAAAAGAGGUG